ACCUUCGUGGUGUAGCGGUCAGCACUAUGAGUGCGUAUUCCAGAGGUCCGUGGUUCGAGUCCCGGCGAAGGCG
rnacentral:tRNA from 1 species